rnacentral:rRNA from 1 species
UACGUAGGGUGCGAGCGUUAAUCGGAAUUACUGGGCGUAAAGUGUGCGCAGGCGGCCGCGCAAGUCGAGUGUGAAAGCCCCGAGCUUAACUUGGGAAUUGCGCUCGAAACUACGUGGCUGGAGUGUGGCAGAGGAAGGUGGAAUUCCAGGUGUAGCGGUGAAAUGCGUAGAGAUCUGGAGGAACACCGAUGGCGAAGGCAGCCUUCUGGGCCAACACUGACGCUCAUGCACGAAAAGCGUGGGGAGCAAACAGG